GUGAAUUGUGGAUAUAUUUUUAUCUCCAACGUGUCAAAUAGAUUACUGAAUUUCAGAUAUGUUUUCUUCUCUAACUGAUCAAAUAAUUUGGUGUAUUCUGGGUAUCUUUUCUCUCUGGCAGUCAAAUAAAGAAGUGAAUUCCGCACAUGUUUUUUAAUCUCUAAUGUGUCAUAGAUUAAUAGAUUUUAGAUAUAUUUUUAUCUCUGAUUGGAGGCAUCUCUGUAUCUCCAACGGGUCUAAUAAACCAGUGGAUUUGGAUACCUUUUUUAUUUCUAACAAGUGACAUCAAUCGCAUCCAAGUCUAUUUUCAAACCAUACUUCUUUUAUUUUAGUUUUUUGCCUCUGGUCAACGCAUAUUAUGUUUAUAACAACAGGUAAAGAAGAAAACUUGUGAGCGAACUUUGGUAUUUGUUCAUAAACUUAUAUUCAAAAAGCAUCUGUCCAUAUAUACUUACAUAAUUUAUAAUAAGCAGGCCGGGUUUUGCUUAUUCCGGUAAAAAGAGAAGAUGUUAGAAGAAGGAUCCACCUAUUUUCAGUCUUACGGGUUAUAUAUAUGUAACUUUUGCAAAUCAUGAAAAUUGAUGUUGCUUUGGUUUCUUGGAAAGAGCAAGCACGUUUUUUGUUUCAAGACACCCAAUGAAUUUCUAUGAUCUUAAAUGGAGGGGGAAGGGUUUGGGCAAGACAUAGGCCUGUGGCCCUCAUGGAAGCUCAAGUAGAUGGAUAAAUCUAAUCCAAUCAAAUUACCAACAAGGGAAUCAAACAAAGGAACCAGUUGAAUUAUUGUAUAAAAAUAUAUUAUGAAUUGAAUCAGAUUAAACAAAGUGUAACUUGGUUGGAUCAGAUUAAACAAAGUAUAACUUGGUUGGGUUGUUUUUUA